UGAACUUGAUAAUCAAAAGAAACGAAGAACCAUGCAGAUGGCACACGAAGAACAACGCAAUUGCCUCACUAAACUGGAACGCGGAUUUUCUAGCGGAGCCGGUAACUACCGGUCACGAUCUCAUCGUUGGAUAUGUUGCGCGCGAUUCGGGCGUGAGAUUCUGGCCACCAUCCGGCGCGCUCUUCAUCGUUUCUCUCCUCUCCCCGCAUCUCGAUCCGGAAAAGGCGGCGGUGCCGCAAUGGCGUGAAGAUGGCGGCCGGACUGCCCGUGUUUGCACGGCGAGACAGCGCUGCUGCUCCUGCCGCAAGGCAGCAAUGGAGGGCAACAAGCUGGCGUGAAGACUGUCGACAGUUCUGCGGCCGGAACAACGGCGAGGCGGCCGCCUGCCGUCGGCCGAGGUGAGGCCUGCAUCGAUGGGCUCGAGGAGCUCGCUCUGCUCCCUCUCCCGCUCGUGCUCUUCCCAGAGAUUGCCUGCAAUCUUUUUGAGUAUUUUCAUCGGCUUCCCCAGCCAUUUCAGCCAGAAAAUGUUCAGUUCUUCAUCCGCUGUUGGAUCCCUCAACCCUCUUUUUUUUUUCUCAUGUUGUUUGCCUGUAAUGUUCUCUCAUGCUUGGAUCUGUGGCUUACUACUCGCCAUUAUAGCAUCUGAUUGGUUAGGUACCAGCAAUUUAAGAGGUGUGAUCAAUCUCUAAAAAAUGAAUGGGUCGUAUUUGGCAUCGACCAAAUUUCAGAAA